rnacentral:tRNA from 1 species
AGGAUUAUAGUUAAUCAAUAUAACAUUUGAUUUGCAUUCAAAAAUUGUUGAAAAUAUCAACUUAUCUUA